CAGUUCGGAUUGUAGUCUGCAACUCGACUACAUGAAGCUGGAAUCGCUAGUAAUCGCGAAUCAGAAUGUCGCGGUGAAUACGUUCCCGGGUCUUGUACACACCGCCCGUCACACCAUGGGAGUCAGUAACGCCCGAAGCCGGUGACCCAACCAAACGGAGGGAGCCGUCGAAGGUGGGACAGAUGAUUGGGGUGAAGUCGUAACAAGGUAGC
rnacentral:rRNA from 1 species